UACGUAGGUGACCAGCGUUGUCCGGAUUUACUGGGCGUAAAGAGCGCGCAGGCGGUCGUUCAAGUCGAGUGUGAAAGCCCCCGGCUCAACUGGGGAGGGUCACUCGAUACUGAUCGACUUGAAGGCAGGAGAGGGAAGCGGAAUUCCCGGUGUAGCGGUGAAAUGCGUAGAGAUGUGGAGGAACACCAGUGGCGAAGGCGACUCUUUGGCCUGUAACUGACACUGAGGCGCGAAAGCGUGGGGAGCAAACAGG
rnacentral:rRNA from 1 species